UUUAGUGGCGAACGGGUGNAGUAACACGCUAAGAUAACCUGCCUUUNAGACGAGGAUAACAACUGGAAACGGUUGCUAAGACUGGAUAGGAAACAAAAAGGCAUCUUUUUGUUUUUAAAAGACCUUCUUACGAAGGUAUGCUUAAAGAGGGGCUUGCGCCACGUUAGUUAGUUGGUAGGGUAAAAGCCUACCAAGACGAUGAUGUGUAGCUGGACUGAGAGGUUGAACAGCCACAUUGGGACUGAGACACGGCCCAAACUCCUACGGGAGGCAGCAGUAGGGAAUUUUCGGCAAUGGAGGAAACUCUGACCGAGCAACGCCGCGUGAACGAUGAAGUAUUUCGGUAUGUAAAGUUCUUUUAUUGAAGAAGAAAAAGUAGUGGAAAAACUAUAUUGACGUUAUUCAAUGAAUAAGCCCCGGCUAACUAUGUGCCAGCAGCCGCGGUAAGACAUAGGGGGCGAGCGUUAUCCGGAAUUAUUGGGCGUAAAGGGUGCGUAGGCUGUUAGAUAAGUCUAUAAUUUAAUUUCAGUGCUUAACGCUGUCUUGUUAUAGAAACUGUCUUGACUAGAGUGAGAUAGAGGCAAGCGGAAUUCCAUGUGUAGCGGUAAAAUGUGUAAAUAUAUGGAGGAACACCAGAAGCNGUAGGCGGCUUGCUGGGUCUUUACUGACGCUGAGGCACGAAAGCGUGGGUAGCAAACAGGAUUAGAUACCCUGGUAGUCCACGCCGUAAACGAUGAGUACUAAGUGUCGGGGUAAAACUCGGUACUGAAGUUNACACAUUAAGUACUCCGCCUGAGUAGUACGUACGCAAGUAUGAAACUUAAAGGAAUUGACGGGACUCCGCACAAGCGGUGGAUCAUGUUGUUUAAUUCGAAGAUACACGAAAAAUCUUACCAGGUCUUGACAUACUCUGCAAAGCUAUAGAAAUAUAGUGGAGGUUAUCAGGGAUACAGGUGGUGCAUGGUUGUCGUCAGUUCGUGUCGUGAGAUGUUAGGUUAAGUCCUAAAACGAGCGCAACCCUUGUCGUUAAUUGCCAGCACGUAAUGGUGGGGACUUUAGCGAGACUGCCAAUUAAACAUUGGAGGAAGGUGAGGAUUACGUCAAAUCAUCAUGCCCCUUAUGAUCUGGGCUACAAACGUGAUACAAUGGCUGUGACAAAGAGUAGCUGAAACGCGAGUUUUUAGCCAAUCUCAAAAAAGCAGUCUCAGUUCGGAUUGAAGUCUGUAACUCGACUUCAUGAAGUUGGAAUCGCUAGUAAUCGCGAAUCAGCAUGUCGCGGUGAAUACGUUCUCGGGGUUUGUACACACCGCCCGUCAAACCACGAAAGUUAGCAAUACCCGAAAGCAGUAGCUUAACUUCGCAAGAAGAGGGAACUGUCUAAGGUAGGGUUGAUGAUUGGGGUUAAGUCGUAACAAGGUAUCCCUACCGGAAGGUGGGGAUGGAUCACCUCCUUUCU
rnacentral:rRNA from 1 species